UACAGAGGGUGCGAGCGUUAAUCGGAAUUACUGGGCGUAAAGCGCGCGUAGGCGGCUUUGCAAGUCGGGUGUGAAAUCCCCAGGCUCAACCUGGGAACUGCAUUCGAGACUGCAUUGCUAGAGUAUGGGAGAGGGAAGUGGAAUUUCCGGUGUAGCGGUGAAAUGCGUAGAUAUCGGAAGGAACAUCAGUGGCGAAAGCGACUUCCUGGACCAAUACUGACGCUCAUGUGUGAAAGCGUGGGGAGCAAACAGG
rnacentral:rRNA from 1 species